UACGUAGGGUGCGAGCGUUGUCCGGAAUUAUUGGGCGUAAAGAGCUCGUAGGCGGUUUGUCGCGUCGACUGUGAAAACCCGAGGCUUAACCUCGGGCCUGCAGUCGAUACGGGCAGACUAGAGUUCGGUAGGGGAGACUGGAAUUCCUGGUGUAGCGGUGAAAUGCGCAGAUAUCAGGAGGAACACCGGUGGCGAAGGCGGGUCUCUGGGCCGAUACUGACGCUGAGACGCGAAAGCGUGGGGAGCGAACAGG
rnacentral:rRNA from 1 species